rnacentral:rRNA from 1 species
CUAGCUUGCUAGAAGAUGACGAGUGGCGGACGGGUGAGUAAUGCUUGGGAACUUGCCUUUGCGAGGGGGAUAACAGUUGGAAACGACUGCUAAUACCGCAUAAUGUCUACGGACCAAACGGGGCUUCGGCUCCGGCGCAAAGAGAGGCCCAAGUGAGAUUAGCUAGUUGGUAAGGUAACGGCUUACCAAGGCGACGAUCUCUAGCUGUUCUGAGAGGAAGAUCAGCCACACUGGGACUGAGACACGGCCCAGACUCCUACGGGAGGCAGCAGUGGGGAAUAUUGCACAAUGGGGGAAACCCUGAUGCAGCCAUGCCGCGUGUGUGAAGAAGGCCUUCGGGUUGUAAAGCACUUUCAGUUGUGAGGAAAAGUUAGUAGUUAAUACCUGCUAGCCGUGACGUUAACAACAGAAGAAGCACCGGCUAACUCCGUGCCAGCAGCCGCGGUAAUACGGAGGGUGCGAGCGUUAAUCGGAAUUACUGGGCGUAAAGCGCACGCAGGCGGUUUGUUAAGCUAGAUGUGAAAGCCCCGGGCUCAACCUGGGAUGGUCAUUUAGAACUGGCAGACUAGAGUCUUGGAGAGGGGAGUGGAAUUCCAGGUGUAGCGGUGAAAUGCGUAGAUAUCUGGAGGAACAUCAGUGGCGAAGGCGACUCCCUGGCCAAAGACUGACGCUCAUGUGCGAAAGUGUGGGUAGCGAACAGGAUUAGAUACCCUGGUAGUCCACACCGUAAACGCUGUCUACUAGCUGUGUGUGUCUUUAAGACGUGCGUAGCGAAGCUAACGCGCUAAGUAGACCGCCUGGGGAGUACGGCCGCAAGGUUAAAACUCAAAUGAAUUGACGGGGGCCCGCACAAGCGGUGGAGCAUGUGGUUUAAUUCGAUGCAACGCGAAAAACCUUACCUACACUUGACAUGCUGAAAACUUUCUAGAGAUAGAUUGUUGCCUUCGGGAACUCAGAAACAGGUGCUGCAUGGCUGUCCUCACCUCCUGUCCUGGAAAUGUUGGGUUAAGUCCCGCAACGAGCGCAACCCUUGUCCUUAGUUGCCAGCCUUAAGUUGGGCACUCUAAGGAAACUGCCGGGUGACAAACCGAAGAAAGGUGGGGAACCAACUUCAAGUCAUCCUGGGCCCUACCUGUAAGGGUUAACACCGUGGCUAAAAUGGGCUUUUACC